rnacentral:rRNA from 1 species
UGAGUACGAGAUGCUACGGCAUCGAAGCAGUCUAUGUCAUACUUCCAAGAAAAGCUUGCAAUGUCAUAAACAAAUAAUGCCUGUACCAUAACCGACACAGGUGGGUAGGUAGAGUAUACUAAGGGGCGCGAGAUAACUCUCUCUAAGGAACUCGGCAAAAUGACUCCGUAACUUCGGGAGAAGGAGUGCCUUAUUUUUAUAAGGUUGCAAUAACAGGAUCCAAGCAACUGUUUACCAAAAACACAGGUCUCCGCUAAGUCGUAAGACGAUGUAUGGGGGCUGACGCCUGCCCAGUGCCAGAAGGUUAAAGAAGUUGGUUAGCAUUAGCGAAGCUGAUAACUGAAGCCCUGGUGAACGGCGGCCGUAACGAUAACGGUCCUAAGGUAGCGAAAUUCCUUGUCGGGUAAGUUCCGACCCGCACGAAAGGCGUAAUGAUUUGGAUACUGUCUCGGAGAGGGGCUCGGUGAAAUAGACUUGUCUGUGAAGAUGCGGACUACCUGCACCUGGACAGAAAGACCCUAUGAAGCUUUACUGUAACUUGAGAUUGAAAUUGGACUUUAUCUGCGCAGUAUAGGUGGGAGACGUUGAAAAUAUUCUUGCGGGAAUAUUGGAGUCAUCAGUGAGAUACCACUCUUAUAAUGUUAGAUUUCUAACUUUGUAUCAUUAUCUGGUCAAAGAACAGUUUCAGGCGGGCAGUUUGACUGGGGCGGUCGCCUCCCAAACGGUAACGGAGGCGCACAAAGGUUUCCUCUGAACGUGUAGAAAUCGUAUCUAGAGUGUAAAGGCAUAAGGAAGCUUGACUGUGAGACCUACAAGUCGAGCAGGGACGAAAGUCGGUCUUAGUGAUCUGACGGUGCUGAGUGGAAAGGCCGUCACUCAACGGAUAAAAGUUACUCUAAGGAUAACAGGCUGAUCUCCCCCAAGAGUUCACAUCGACGGGGAGGUUUGGCACCUCGAUGUCGGCUCAUCGCAUCCUGGGGCGGUAGUACGUCCCAAGGGUUGGGCUGUUCGCCCAUGAAAGCGGUACGCGAGCUGGGUUCAGAACGUCGUGAGACAGUUCGGUCCAUAUCCGGUGUAGGCGUUAGAAUAUUGAGAGGAGCCUUCUUUAGUACGAGAGGACCGAGAAGGACAUACCUCUGGUGUACCAGUUAUCGUGCCAACGGUAAACGCUGGGUAGCCAUGUAUGGAGAGGAUAACCGCUGAAAGCAUCUAAGUGGGAAGCCCACCUCAAGAUAAGUAUUCUCAU